GACAGAGGGUGCAAACGUUGCUCGGAAUCACUGGGCGUAAAGGGCGUGUAGGCGGGACGGUAAGUCGGGCGUGAAAUCCCUAGGCUCAACCUAGGAACUGCACUCAAAACUACCAUUCUUGAGUGUCGGAGAGGAAAGCGGAAUUCCUGGUGUAGAGGUGAAAUUCGUAGAUAUCAGGAGGAACACCAGUGGCGAAGGCGGCUUUCUGGACGAUAACUGACGCUGAGACGCGAAAGCGUGGGGAGCAAACAGG
rnacentral:rRNA from 1 species